rnacentral:rRNA from 1 species
UACGUAGGGCGCAAGCGUUGUCCGGAAUUAUUGGGCGUAAAGAGCUCGUAGGCGGUCUGUUACGUCCGCUGUGAAAACCCAGGGCUUAACCCUGGGCUUGCAGUGGAUACGGGCAGACUAGAGGCAGGUAGGGGAGAAUGGAAUUCCCGGUGUAGCGGUGAAAUGCGCAGAUAUCGGGAGGAACACCGGUGGCGAAGGCGGUGCUCUGGGCCUGUCCUGACGCUGAGGAGCGAAAGCGUGGGGAGCGAACAGG